rnacentral:rRNA from 1 species
GAUGAACGCUGGCGGCGUGCCUAAUACAUGCAAGUCGAGCGAACAGACGAGGAGCUUGCUCCUUUGACGUUAGCGGCGGACGGGUGUGUCACACGUGGGUAACCUACCUAUAAGACUGGGAUAACUUCGGGACACCGGAGCUAAUACCGGAUAAUAUUUCGAACCGCAUGGUUCGAUAGUGAAAGAUGGCUUUGCUAUCACUUAUAGAUGGACCUGGGCCGUAUUAGCUAGUUGGUAAGGUAACGGCCUACCAAGGCAACGAUACGUAGCCGACCUGAGAGGGGGAUCGGCCACACGGGAGGGGAGCCGCGGUCCAGGCGCCUGCGGGAGGCAGCAGUCGGGUAUCGUAGGCAGUGGGCGGAAGCAUGACGGAGCGAGGGGGCGUGAGUGAUAACAGUGCUCGGUUCGGAAAGCUGGGUUAUUGGUGGAAAACAACCGUGUAAGGAACUGAGGAGGGCGUGACGGUACCUAAUAAGAAAGCCACGGCUAACUACGUG